rnacentral:tRNA from 1 species
GGAAGCGUGGCAGAGCGGUUGAAUGCAGCAGUCUUGAAAACUGCCGAGGAUGCGAGUCCUCCGUGAGUUCGAAUCUCACCGCUUCCGCCG